UACGUAGGGGGCAAGCGUUGUUCGGAAUUACUGGGCGUAAAGCGUGCGCAGGCGGUUUUCCAAGUCAGUGGUGAAAGCCCGGAGCUCAACUCCGGAACUGCCAUUGAAACUGUGAGACUCGAGUACGAGAGAGGUGAGUGGAAUUCCCAGUGUAGAGGUGAAAUUCGUAGAUAUUGGGAAGAACACCGGUGGCGAAGGCGGCUCACUGGCUCGUAACUGACGCUCAUGCACGACAGCGUGGGGAGCAAACAGG
rnacentral:rRNA from 1 species